UACGGAGGGUGCAAGCGUUAUCCGGAUUCACUGGGUUUAAAGGGUGCGUAGGCGGGUAGGUAAGUCCGUGGUGAAAUCUCUGAGCUUAACUCAGAAACUGCCGUGGAUACUAUUUGCCUUGAAUAUUGUGGAGGUGAGCGGAAUAUGUCAUGUAGCGGUGAAAAUGCUUAGAUAUGACAUAGAACACCAAAUUGCGAAGGCAGCUCACUACACAAUGAUUGACGUGAGGCACGAAAAGCGUGGGGGAUCAAAACAGGG
rnacentral:rRNA from 1 species